rnacentral:rRNA from 1 species
AAACCUGGAAAUAGCUGGUUCUCUCCGAAAACUAUUUAGGUAGUGCCUCGUGUCUCACUUCGGGGGUAGAGCACUGUCAUGGUUGGGGGGUCUAUUGCAGAUUACCCCGCCAUAGCAAACUCCGAAUACCGAAGAGUGCAAUCACGGGAGACAGACAUCGGGUGCUAACGUCCGGUGUCAAGAGGGAAACAACCCAGACCGCCAGCUAAGGUCCCCAAAUAUGGCUAAGUGGGAAACGAAGUGGGAAGGCUAAAACAGUCAGGAGGUUGGCUUAGAAGCAGCCACCCUUUAAAGAAAGCGUAAUAGCUCACUGAUCGAGUCGUCCUGCGCGGAAGAUGUAACGGGGCUAAGCCAUAUACCGAAGCUGCGGAUGCGAGCUAGUCUCGCAUGGUAGGAGAGCGUUCCGUAAGCCUGCGAAGGUGCGUUGAAAAGCGUGCUGGAGGUAUCGGAAGUGCGAAUGCUGACAUGAGUAGCGAUAAAGGGGGUGAAAGGCCCCCUCGCCGUAAGCCCAAGGUUUCCUACGCAACGUUCAUCGGCGUAGGGUGAGUCGGCCCCUAAGGCGAGGCAGAAAUGCGUAGCUGAUGGGAAGCAGGUCAAUAUUCCUGCACCAUUGUUAGAUGCGAUGGGGGGACGGAUCGCGGAAGGUUGUCCGGGUGUUGGAAGUCCCGGUCGCUGCAUUGGAGAAGGCGCUUAGGCAAAUCCGGGCGCAGGAUUCAAGGGUGUGGCGCGAGCUCCUUCGGGAGCGAAGCAAUUGGAAGUGGUUCCAAGAAAAGCCUCUAAGCUUCAGUCUAACGAUGACCGUACCGCAAACCGACACAGGUGGGCGAGAUGAGUAUUCUAAGGCGCUUGAGAGAACUCGGGAGAAGGAACUCGGCAAAUUGGUACCGUAACUUCGGGAUAAGGUACGCCCUGGUAGCUUGACUGGCCUGCGCCAGAAGGGUGAAGGGGUUGCAAUAAACUGGUGGCUGCGACUGUUUAAUAAAAACACAGCACUCUGCAAACACGAAAGUGGACGUAUAGGGUGUGACGCCUGCCCGGUGCCGGAAGAUUAAAUGAUGGGGUGCAAGCUCUUGAUUGAAGUCCCGGUAAACGGCGGCCGUAACUAUAACGGUCCUAAGGUAGCGAAAUUCCUUGUCGGGUAAGUUCCGACCUGCACGAAUGGCGUAACGAUGGCCACACUGUCUCCUCCCGAGACUCAGCGAAGUUGAAGUGUUUGUGAUGAUGCAAUCUACCCGCGGCUAGACGGAAAGACCCCAUGAACCUUUACUGUAGCUUUGCAUUGGACUUUGAACCGAUCUGUGUAGGAUAGGUGGGAGGCUAUGAAACCGGAACGCUAGUUUCGGUGGAGCCGUCCUUGAAAUACCACCCUGGUUUGUUUGAGGUUCUAACCUUGGCCCGUGAUCCGGGUCGGGGACAGUGCAUGGUAGGCAGUUUGACUGGGGCGGUCUCCUCCCAAAGCGUAACGGAGGAGUACGAAGGUACGCUAGGUACGGUCGGAAAUCGUGCUGAUAGUGCAAUGGCAUAAGCGUGCUUAACUGCGAGACCGACAAGUCGAGCAGGUGCGAAAGCAGGUCAUAGUGAUCCGGUGGUUCUGUAUGGAAGGGCCAUCGCUCAACGGAUAAAAGGUACUCUGGGGAUAACAGGCUGAUACCGCCCAAGAGUUCAUAUCGACGGCGGUGUUUGGCACCUCGAUGUCGGCUCAUCUCAUCCUGGGGCUGUAGCCGGUCCCAAGGGUAUGGCUGUUCGCCAUUUAAAGAGGUACGUGAGCUGGGUUUAAAACGUCGUGAGACAGUUUGGUCCCUAUCUGCCGUGGGCGUUGGAAGUUUGAAGGGGGCUGCUCCUAGUACGAGAGGACCGGAGUGGACGAACCUCUGGUGUACCGGUUGUGACGCCAGUCGCAUCGCCGGGUAGCUAUGUUCGGAAGAGAUAACCGCUGAAAGCAUCUAAGCGGGAAACUCGCCUUAAGAUGAGACUUCCCCGGGGACUUGAUCCCCUUGAAGGGUCGUUCGAGACCAGGACGUUGAUAGGUCGGGUGUGUAAGCGCAGUAAUGCGUUCAGCUAACCGAUACUAAUUGCCCGUACGGCUUGAUCCU